UUAAAUUGAAGAGUUUGAUCAUGGCUCAGAUUGAACGCUGGCGGCAGGCCUAACACAUGCAAGUCGAACGGUAACAGGAAGCAGCUUGCUGCUUUGCUGACGAGUGGCGGACGGGUGAGUAAUGUCUGGGAAACUGCCUGAUGGAGGGGGAUAACUACUGGAAACGGUAGCUAAUACCGCAUAACGUCGCAAGACCAAAGA
rnacentral:rRNA from 1 species